rnacentral:rRNA from 1 species
AAUCAACGCUGGCGGCGUGCCUCAGACAUGCAAGUCGAACGAUUACACUUCCCUUCGGGGAAGAUAUAGAGUGGCGCACGGGUGAGUAACACGUAGGUAAUGUACCUUUGGGUGUGGAAUAACUUAGGGAAACUUAAGCUAAUACCGCAUAAUGCAGCAGCUCCUUCGGGAGACAGUUGUUAAAGAUUUAUCGCCUAAAGAGCAGACUGCGUCAGAUUAGCUAGUUGGUAAGGUAACGGCUUACCAAGGCUAGAAUCGGUAUCCUGCAUGUGAGGGAGGUCGGACACUCCUACGCUGAGUAACAGUGCAGACUCCUACGGGAGGCAGCAGUGGGGGAUUUUGGGAUAUGGGCGAAAGCCUGACCCAGCAACGCCGGGUGAAGGAUGAAGUCUUUCAGGAAGUAAACUUCGUAAGAAUAGGAAGAAUAAAUGGCGGUACUAAUUGUAAGGUCCGGCUAACUACGUG